rnacentral:rRNA from 1 species
UACAGAGGUCCCAAGCGUUGUUCGGAUUCACUGGGCGUAAAGGGCUCGUAGGCGGCCAACUAAGUCAGACGUGAAAUCCCUCGGCUUAACUGGGGAACUGCGUCUGAUACUGGAUGGCUUGAGUUUGGGAGAGGGAUGCGGAAUUCCAGGUGUAGCGGUGAAAUGCGUAGAUAUCUGGAGGAACACCGGUGGCGAAGGCGGCAUCCUGGACCAACACUGACACUGAGGAGCGAAAGCCAGGGGAGCAAACGGG